UACGUAGGGCGCAAGCGUUAUCCGGAAUUAUUGGGCGUAAAGAGCUCGUAGGCGGUUUGUCGCGUCUGCUGUGAAAACUCGGGGCUUAACUCCGGGCCUGCAGUGGGUACGGGCAGACUAGAGUGCGGUAGGGGAGACUGGAAUUCCUGGUGUAGCGGUGAAAUGCGCAGAUAUCGGGAGGAACACCAGUGGCGAAGGCGACUACCCGGCCUGUUCUUGACGCUGAGGCGCGAAAGCUAGGGUAGCAAACGGG
rnacentral:rRNA from 1 species